GGUGCUUGCACCUGGUGGCGAGUGGCGAACGGGUGAGUAAUACAUCGGAACAUGUCCUGUAGUGGGGGAUAGCCCGGCGAAAGCCGGAUUAAUACCGCAUACGAUCUACGGAUGAAAGCGGGGGACCUUCUGGCCUCGCGCUAUAGGGUUGGCCGAUGGCUGAUUAACUAGUUGGUGGGGUAAA
rnacentral:rRNA from 1 species